rnacentral:rRNA from 1 species
UAGGGAAUCUUCCACAAUGGGCGCAAGCCUGAUGGAGCAACACCGCGUGAGUGAAGAAGGGUUUCGGCUCGUAAAGCUCUGUUGUUAAAGAAGAACACGCAUGAGAGUAACUGUUCAUACGUUGACGGUAUUUAACCAGAAAGUCACGGCUAACUACGUGCCAG